UACGUAGGGUGCGAGCGUUGUCCGGAAUUAUUGGGCGUAAAGGGCUCGUAGGCGGUUUGUCGCGUCGGGAGUGAAAACCAGGUGCUUAACACCUGGCUUGCUUUCGAUACGGGCAGACUAGAGGCAUGCAGGGGAGAACGGAAUUCCUGGUGUAGCGGUGAAAUGCGGCAGAAUAUCAGGAGGAACACCGGUGGCGAAAGGGCGGG
rnacentral:rRNA from 1 species